GCGAGCGUAGCCAAGUGGUUAAGGCGGUGGUUUGUGGUACCAUUAUUCGUGGGUUCGAGCCCCAUCGUUCGCC
rnacentral:tRNA from 1 species